ACGGCGACAGGUCGCACCGCUGGCUGAGGUCGCGCUGCUUCGCGUCGCCUGGCGAGGUCCAGAGCGCCUGUUCCUUUAGACGGGGAAGCCGAGGAGUGGGAAGGGGCCUCCGUAGCCAUCAAGUGUAUUCACUUACCUGAGUCCGGGCUGGCUUGGGUUGGAGGUUGUUUUUGUUUUUUAAAGUGGGGCAGAGCCUGACUGAGCUGGAGGUUCAGUGGGGGACAAGAAUAAAGGUGAAGAAUUAGUUUGAAGAUAGAUUGAAGAAGACUUUGAACUAGUGACAGUGGCAACCACCGUGACCCAGACUUGUGUGACCCUUAGAGGCAGAAGGAGUCUGGAAGUAACCAGCCACUGGUGGUAUUGGUUCAGGCGCUCAAUGAUACCACAUUUGCAAGAUGACUGUCCCAGCUUCAGCCAUCCCAUCCUUGUCCAAGGCAGGAAAAAUUAGAUGGAGGGGCCAUACGAUGAGGAUUGCAGGGGCACCUAACUGACAGCCAACAAGGAGAUGGGAAUCUCAGACCUACAACCACAAGGAACUGAGUCCUGUCAGCAACCUGAAAGAGCUUAGAAGCCGAUUCUCUCCCAGGGCCCCCAGAAGAGAGCACAGCCCUGCUCACACCUUGAUUUCAACCUGUGAGACCCUAAGUGGAGGACCCAGUUCAGUCACGCCAUACAUGGAUUCUGAUCUGCACAACUGUGAGAUAAUAA